AUUGCAUCGUAGUGUUCAAUUUGUGUGUGUGUGUGUGCAAGGCAGGAGAAAAAGUCGCUCCAUUUUUCUCGUGCUCUCUUGCGUACGUUUGGCUUUGCUAAACAAUUAGAUGGCGAAUCGUAUAAAUAUUAAAAAAGUGUUUGCCUGACUUUUAUGUAGGAAGCAAACACACAAAUCCACGAAAACGCGCCGCAUAAUAAGUGUAACAUUGCAUACAUAUACCCGACUAUAGAAAUUGGCCAAUCGCUGGUGUGCGUGUGUGUGUAACUGUGUAAGUGCGCGCGUGUGUGUAAGUGAGCAAUGAAAAAUGAGGCGUAGGUGAGGAAUAUGUGUGCAAAAUUGUCGAAAAGCCUGUUAUGACAUGCUAAUCGCAGGGUCGGCCAUAAGGUGUACAUUCAACAGCGCUACCAUCCCACAAAAAGAGACAAACAAACAUAUUUUCAAUGUGCGCGCGCCAAAUGACAGCUGACGAUCGGUUAAAUAGAAUAUGACUCAAAGCUAAUCAAGAAAGAAAAGAUCAAAGAUAAAUAAAACAAGAAACUAUUGUUGUUAGUUGUCGUAGGCGUAACAUUAGCAAAAUACGUCAACCAUAAUUUACAAAAAUUGUUAGAAAUUUGUGGGGAAAAUGUGCAAAAGUGUGUUUGUUAAAUUGUUAGCCAAAAUUAUUUGUUUACCUAGUACUACAUAGAACGUAACUGCCUUUCUUUAUCCAACAAGAGCAACAAUAAUAACAAAGAUAUUUCGACGCACCGGACAAGCGAGCGAGCACUUAAAUUAAGACAAACAGUAAAUAUAUAAUACAGCUGCAUUCAACAAUAGCCAACAACAACAACAUUUAACAUAUAACAAAUCACCAAGGAAAUGCUCAAAUUGAAUACUUAAAUGUCAAGCGACAGCAGCACUGAUGCCACAGCAACAAACAACAGAUCAACAAAAGCAACUGUAAGUUAACAGAAGAACAACAGAAGGGAGCAGUAGUAGGGUAGUUGCGAACUCGUGUCUAGAGAAGAGAGAGGAGCGAAAGAGAGAGGUAGAGUGUGACUGGAGAGAGUAGUGCAACAGAGCAACAGAACGAUUGGCUUGCCGUAUGCAUUGGACGCAGGCGCGGCAUGCGUGGAUGUUAAUUUGAACGGUAAAUUUGGAGCAACAAUUCCGCAUUUCUACAACGUUUUGGAUCAAUCUUAUCAACAAUCAUUAGCCGUUGCUAUUAGUUUCGUGCAUAUAUAUAUAUUUAUACAUAUAUAUAUUAUCUUUGGAAAUUCUGUGGAGAGUGAUUGAACGAAA